rnacentral:tRNA from 1 species
GUGGUCGUAUCAUAAUUGGUUUAAUGAUCUACACUGUGAAUGUAGCCUAUGCGAGUUCAAAUCUCGUCGGCCACC